CGGUUAAGUUAGAAAGGGCGCACGGUGGAUGCCUUGGCACUAGGAGCCGAUGAAGGACGGGACGAACACCGAUAUGCUUCGGGGAGCUGUAAGCAAGCUUUGAUCCGGAGAUUUCCGAAUGGGGAAACCCACUGCUCGUAAUGGAGCAGUAUCCAUAUCUGAAUUCAUAGGAUAUGAGAAGGCAGACCCGGGGAACUGAAACAUCUAAGUACCCGGAGGAAGAGAAAGCAAAUGCGAUUCCCUGAGUAGCGGCGAGCGAAACGGGAUUAGCCCAAACCAAGAGGCUUGCCUCUUGGGGUUGUAGGACACUCUGUACGGAGUUACAAAGGAACGAGGUAGAUGAAGAGGUCUGGAAAGGCCCGCCAUAGGAGGUAACAGCCCUGUAGUCAAAACUUCGUUCUCUCCUGAGUGGAUCCUGAGUACGGCGGAACACGUGAAAUUCCGUCGGAAUCCGG
rnacentral:rRNA from 1 species